rnacentral:rRNA from 1 species
AGCCACAGCCAUGUCACCCUGCACCCCAAGACCGGUUACUCACUGAAGCUAAGCAGGGCUGAGCCUGGUCAGUACCUGGAAGGGAGACCACUAGGGAACACUAGGUUGCUGUUGGAA